GGAGGAUCAAUCUUGCUGUGCAAGGUGUCCAGCUUUCCCUGGGAAGCAUUUAGUCAUUCACAGAUUGAAAAUCCCUGCAAAAAACCCAGUGGCACAGUAAACGCCUCUGGUUCGCCUUUAGCAUCUGCUUUAUUUGAUAAGAGGUUUGUUUACAUGGUUUAAUAUCUUUAAUUAAUCUGCAUUGUUGCUGAACUGCUGCUGUAGUUUGUAUUACAAUUGUUCUUUGAGAUAGGUAACCGAAUAAGUUUUCUUUAAGCUUUGUUUUAUGGCCAAGCUUCACAAACCCCUGUGCAAAAAUACUGGCUUUUGAUUUGGCCUAGUAGGUAUUCCUGUGACCAGUCUGACCAGCUGUCUUCCUUCUCUUUCUUUUGUGUUCACAGAUGAAAUUUAUCUCACUGAAACAAAUGCUGCCAAGUGGUUGGUAUUAAUAAUACAUUGAAAGCUGCAGCCACAUCUGAUAUUUUCUCCUACUCUUGAGGAAAGGGAUUAUUGUAAACCUUGAAUGUUACUUUUGUUCCUCCAGUUGCAGUGAUCUUGAGGGCUCUUGAGGUACUCGAGGAAAGCUUAGAGGAAUCCUAUGAUGCACAUGUUGCACCAGGUGCUGGAUCUCAUAUGCUUCCUGAUACAUCUGAUGUAAGUCUUCAUGAGACAAAAGCACUUACAUAGGUUUAACUGGAGGUACCUGCUGGAUCCCAGUAGGAAGAUUUCUGAAACAGUCAAUGUUCCCCAUACCUUGUUCUAUCUUUUAUAAUAUAUCUCCCCUAUGAAUGAGGCCAAUUUUGAUUGUGUGUGUGAUUUUUUUUGUGUGUGGAUGUGCUGCA